rnacentral:rRNA from 1 species
GGACGAACGCUGGCGGCGUGCUUAACACAUGCAAGUCGAACGGAAAGGCCCUGCUUUUGUGGGGUGCUCGAGUGGCGGACGGGUGAGUAACACGUGAGUAACCUGCCCUUGACUUUGGGAUAACUUCAGGAAACUGGGGCUAAUACCGGAUAGGAGCUCCUGCUGCAUGGUGGGGGUUGGAAAGUUUCGGCGGUUGGGGAUGGACUCGCGGCUUAUCAGCUUGUUGGUGGGGUAGUGGCUUACCAAGGCUUUGACGGGUAGCCGGCCUGAGAGGGUGACCGGCCACAUUGGGACUGAGAUACGGCCCAGACUCCUACGGGAGGCAGCAGUGGGGAAUAUUGCACAAUGGGCGGAAGCCUGAUGCAGCAACGCCGCGUGCGGGAUGACGGCCUUCGGGUUGUAAACCGCUUUCGCCUGUGACGAAGCGUGAGUGACGGUAAUGGGUAAAGAAGCACCGGCUAACUACGUG